rnacentral:rRNA from 1 species
UACAGAGGUCCCAAGCGUUGUUCGGAUUCAUUGGGCGUAAAGGGUGCGUAGGUGGCGCCGUAAGUCGGGUGUGAAAUUUCGGAGCUUAACUCCGAAACUGCAUUCGAUACUGCGGUGCUUGAGGACUGGAGAGGAGACUGGAAUUCAUGGUGUAGCAGUGAAAUGCGUAGAGAUCAUGAGGAAGACCAGUGGCGAAGGCGGGUCUCUGGACAGUACCUGACGCUGAGGCACGAAGGUCAGGGGAGCAAACGGG